GAUGAACGCUGGCGGCGUGCCUAAUACAUGCAAGUCGAGCGAACGGACGAGAAGCUUGCUUUUCUGAUGUUAGCAGCGGACGGGUGAGUAACACGUGGAUAACCUACCUAUAAGACUGGGAUAACUUCGGGAAACCGGAGCUAAUACCGGAUAAUAUUUUGAACCGCAUGGUUCAAAAGUGAAAGACGGUCUUGCUGUCACUUAUAGAUGGAUCCGCGCUGCAUUAGCUAGUUGGUAAGGUAACGGCUUACCAAGGCAACGAUGCAUAGCCGACCUGGGAGGGUGAUCGGCCACACUGGAACUGAGACACGGUCCAGACUCCUACGGGAGGCAGCAGUAGGGAAUCUUCCGCAAUGGGCGAAAGCCUGACGGAGCAACGCCGCGUGAGUGAUGAAGGUCUUCGGAUCGUAAAACUCUGUUAUUAGGGAAGAACAUAUGUGCAAGUAACUGUGCACAUCUUGACGGUACCUAAUCAGAAAGCCACGGCUAACUACGUG
rnacentral:rRNA from 1 species